rnacentral:lncRNA from 1 species
ACUGGUUUGAAAGUUUUAUGGAUUGAUUCAAUGUUCUCGAAAGGGAUUGAAGGGUCCAAAAAAAAUGGGGAAUUUUUGAUUCCCCUCCCCUUUUCUUUCGAAAACACCGAACCGAUAAGGUUGGAGAUGACGGCGGCGAAGAUGAUUACGGUGGCAUAGAUCUUAACGGCUGGCGGAUUUGAUUUGAUAUUUUCGAAAGAUGUUGAAGGGUCCAAAGAAACGGGAAAUCAAAUAUUUCCCUCCCCUCUUCUUUUGAAAAUAUCAAACUGGCGAUGCUGGAGAUGACGUCGGUGAAUAUGAUGACGGUGGCGCGGAUUUAUUCGGCUGGCAAAUUUGGUUCGAUAUUUUCAAAAGAGAUUGAAGGGUCCGAAGAAACGGGAAAUCUUUG